rnacentral:rRNA from 1 species
GAGGAAAAGAAAAUAACAAUGAUUUCCCUAGUAACGGCGAGUGAAGAGGAAAGAGCUCAAAGUUGGAACCUGUUUGGCUUAGCUAAACCGGAUUGUAAACUGUAGAAGUGUUUUCCAGACACGCCUGGUAAAAAAGUCCUUUGGAACAGGGCAUCAUAGAGGGUGAGAAUCCCGUCAUUGGCCAGAGCUGUUGUCUUUUGUGAUACAUUUUCAAAGAGUCAGGUUGUUUGGGAAUGCAGCCUAAAUUGGGUGGUAAAUCUCACCUAAAGCUAAAUAUUUGCGAGAGACCGAUAGCGAACAAGUACCGUGAGGGAAAGAUGAAAAGAACUUUGAAAAGAGAGUUAAACAGUAUGUGAAAUUGUUAAAAGGGAACCGUUUGGAGCCAGACUGGCUUGAUCGUAAUCACUCUAGGCUUUGGCCUGGAUGCACUUGCGGUCUAUGCCGGCCAACGACAGUUUUGUUUGAGGGAAAAAAUUACAUUGAAUGUGGCCCUUCGGGGUGUUAUAGCUUUGUAAAAAAUACCUUGGACGGGACUGAGGAACGCAGCGAAUGCCUUUAGGCGAGAUUGCUGGGUGCUUGCGCUGAUACAUGCUAGAAUUUCUGCUUUGGGUGGUGCUAGUGUGUAAAGGAGUAACCCGCUUAGUAUAUUUUUUAUUCGCUUAGGUUGUUGGCUUAAUGACUCUAAAUGA